GUGGGGAAUAUUGGACAAUGGGCGAAAGCCUGAUCCAGCCAUGCCGCGUGUGUGAAGAAGGUCUUCGGAUUGUAAAGCACUUUAAGUUGGGAGGAAGGGCAGUAAGUUAAUACCUUGCUGUUUUGACGUUACCGACAGAAUAAGCACCGGCUAACUUCGUGCCAGCAGCCGCGGUAAUACGAAGGGUGCAAGCGUUAAUCGGAAUUACUGGGCGUAAAGCGCGCGUAGGUGGUUUUGUAAGUUGGAGGUGAAAUACCCGGGCUCAACCUGGGAACUGCCUCCAAAACUGCAUGACUAGAGUACGGUAGAGGGUAGUGGAAUUUCCUGUGUAGCGGUGAAAUGCGUAGAUAUAGGAAGGAACACCAGUGGCGAAGGCGACUACCUGGACUGAUACUGACACUGAGGUGCGAAAGCGUGGGGAGCAAACAGGAUUAGAAACCCUUGUAGUCC
rnacentral:rRNA from 1 species